UGAGAAUAAUACCCCAUAAGCCACUAUGCCUGGAACGGUUUGUGGCCAAAAGCCCCGGCGGCGUAGGAUGGGUCUGCGGCGUAUCAGGUUGUAGUGGGUGUAAUGUACCUACUAGCCUUCAACGCGUACGGGUUGUGGGAGCAAUCGCCCGGAGAUGGAUUCUGAGACACUAAUCCAGACCCUACGGGGUGCAGCAGGCGCGAAAACUUCACACUGCAGGAAACUGUGAUGAGGGAACUCCAAGUGGUACCACGAAUGUGGUAUCCUUUUCUUGACUCUUAACAGGUCUUGGAAUAAGGGGUGGGAAAGACCGGUGCCAGCCGCCGCGGUAAUACCGGCACCUCAAGUGGUCGUCGCUUUUAUUGGGCCUAAAACGUCCGUAGCCGGUUUGGUAAACCCGUGGGUAAAUCAACCAGCUUAACUGGUUGAAUUCUGCGGAGACUACCAAACUUGGAACCGGGAGAGGUGUGAGGAACUCUUGGGGUAGGGGUAAAAUUUGUUUAUCCCAGGGGGACCACCUGUUGCGAAGGCGUCACACUAGAACGGAUUCGACGGUCAGGGACGAAGCCUAGGGGCACGAACCGGAUUAGAUACCCGGGUAGUCCUAGGUGUAAACGCUGUGGA
rnacentral:rRNA from 1 species